rnacentral:rRNA from 1 species
GGGUUGUGAGGUUAAGCGACUAAGCGUACACGGUGGAUGCCCUGGCAGUCAGAGGCGAUGAAGGACGUGCUAAUCUGCGAUAAGCGUCGGUAAGGUGAUAUGAACCGUUAUAACCGGCGAUUUCCGAAUGGGGAAACCCAGUGUGUUUCGACACACUAUCAUUAACUGAAUCCAUAGGUUAAUGAGGCGAACCGGGGGAACUGAAACAUCUAAGUACCCCGAGGAAAAGAAAUCAACCGAGAUUCCCCCAGUAGCGGCGAGCGAACGGGGAGCAGCCCAGAGCCUGAAUCAGUGUGUGUGUUAGUGGAAGCGUCUGGAAAGGCGCGCGAUGUUAGCAUGUUCCGUACACAAAAAUGCACAUGCUGUGAGCUCGAUGAGUAGGGCGGGACACGUGGUAUCCUGUCUGAAUAUGGGGGGACCAUCCUCCAAGGCUAAAUACUCCUGACUGACCGAUAGUGAACCAGUACCGUGAGGGAAAGGCGAAAAGAACCCCGGCGAGGGGAGUGAAAAAGAACCUGAAACCGUGUACGUACAAGCAGUGGGAGCACGCUUAGGCGUGUGACUGCGUACCUUUGUGGCUACCGGUCAGCGAGGGUCAGCGACUUAUAUUCUGUAGCAAGGUUAACCGAAUAGGGGAGCCGAAGGGAAACCGAGUCCAACUUCAAGGCGUUAAGUUGUAUGGGUGACAGACCCUGAAACCCGGUGAUUCCAGCCGGCAGGUGGCUAUUGAAGCUGGGUAACACUAACUGGAUAACGCCGGAACCGACUAAUGUUGAAAAAUUCAGCGGAUGACUUGCAGGCCGGGGUGAAGUACACCAAACCGGGAGAUAUUGGUUCUCCCCGAAAGCUAUUUAGGUGAAGCGCUCGUGAAUCUCAUUCUCGGGUAGAGCACUGGUUUCGGUAUAAUAUCCCGACUUACUCAACCCGAACCCAACGAACGUUGACCACGUAUACACGGCGCCAAACGUUAGAAAGUGCCCGUCCACCAGCGUCCCGCUAAGUGCGGGAAACGAUGCAAGCGUCCAGAUGAUUGCCAUUUGUAGCUGUUUCACUCUCAUCAAAAGAAAGCGUAAUAGCCUCACUGGUCGAGUCGGCCUGCGCGCGGAAGAUGGACGGCUAACCAUGCACCGAAGCUGCGGGCAGCGACGCUGGAUGCGUUGUUGGGUAGGGAGUUGCCCUGUAAGCCUGCGAAGGUGUGCUGUGAGGCAUGCUGGAGGUAUCAGAAGUGCGAAUGCUGACAUAAGUAACGAUAAAGCGGGUGAAAAGCCCGCUCGCCGGAAGACCAAGGGUUCCUGUCCAACGUUAAUCGGGGCAGGGUGAGUCGACCCCUAAGGCGAGGCCGAAAGGCGUAGUCGAUGGGAAACAGGUUAAUAUUCCUGUACUUGGUGUUACUGCGAAGGGGGGACGGAGAAGGCUAUGUUGGCCGGGCGACGGUUGUCCCGGUUUAAGCGUGUAGGCUGGUUUUCCGCAAAUCCGGAAAAUCAUUGAGGCGUGAUGACGAGGUGCACUACGGUGCUGAAGCAACAAACGCCCGUUUCCGUGAAAGCCUCUACAUCAGGUAACACCAAAUCAAAUUCUCAACCGGACACACAGGUGGUCAGGUAGAAUACCGCGCCGAGAGAACCUGCGAAGGAACUAGGCAAAAUGGUGCCGUAACUUCGGGAGAGAAGGCACGCCGAUAUGUAGGUGAGGUCCUCGCGGACGGAGCUGAAAUCAGUCGAAGAUACCAGCUGUCUGCAACUGUUUAUUAAAAACACAGCACUGUGCAAACACGAAAGUGGACGUAUACGGUGUGACGCCUGCCCGGUGCCGGAAGGUUAAUUGAUGGGGUUAGCGCGAAGCUCUUGAUCGAAGCCCCGGUAAACGGCGGCCGUAACUAUAACGGUCCUAAGGUAGCGAAAUUCCUUGUCGGGUAAGUUCCGACCUGCACGAAUGGCGUAAUGAUGGCCAGGCUGUCUCCACCCGAGACUCAGUGAAAUUGAACUCGCUGUGAAGAUGCAGUGUACCCGCGGCAAGACGGAAAGACCCCGUGAACUCCUUUUUGCCAUAGCUUUGACACUGAACAUUGAGCCCUUGAUGUGUAGGGAUAAGGGUUUAGAAGUGUGGACGCCAGUCUGCAUGGAGCCGACCUUGAAAUACCACCCUUUAAUGUUUGAUGUUCUAACGUUGACCCGUAAUCCGGGUUGCGGACAGUGUCUGGUGGGUAGUUUGACUGGGGCGGUCUCCUCCUAAAGAGUAACGGAGGAGCACGAAGGUUGGCUAAUCCUCUGGUCGGACAUCAGGAGGUUAGUGCAAUGGCAUAAGCCAGCUUGACUGCGAGCGUGACGGCGCGAGCAGGUGCGAAAGCAGGUCAUAGUGAUCCGGUGGUUCUGAAUGGAAGGGCCAUCGCUCAACGGGAUAAAAGCAAUUCGGGAUAAUAUUGAUACCGCCCAAGAGUUCAUAUCGACGGCGGUGUUUGGCACCUCGAUGUCGGCUCAUCACAUCCUGGGGCUGAAGUAGGUCCCAAGGGUAUGGCUGUUCGCCAUUUAAAGUGGUACGCGAGCUGGGUUUAGAACGUCGUGAGACAGUUCGGUCCCUACGGGCGCUGGAGAACUGGAGGGGCUGCCCUAUACGAGAGGACCGGAGUGACGUAUCACUGGCGGUUCGGGUUGUCAUGCCAAUGGCACUGCCCGGUAGCUAAAUGCGGAAGAGAUAAGUGCUGAAAGCAUCUAAGCACGAAACUUGCCCCGAGAUGAGUUCUCCCUGACCCUUUAAGGGUCCUGAAGGAACGUUGAAGACGACGACGUUGAUAGGCCGGGUGUGUAAGCGCAGCGAUGCGUUGAGCUAACCGGUACUAAUGAACCGUGAGGCUUAACCUUACAACGCCGAAGCUGUU